UGCCAGCAGCCGCGGUUAUACGUAGGGUGCGAGCGUUGUCCGGAAUUAUUGGUGCGUAAGGAGCUUGUAGUCGGUUUGUCGCGUCUGCUGUGAAAGCCCGGGGCUUAACCCCGGGUCUGCAGUGGGUACGGGCAGGCUAGAGUGUGGUAGGGGAGACUGGAAUUCCUGGUGUAGCGGUGGAAUGCGCAGAUAUCAGGAGGAACACCGAUGGCGAAGGCAGGUCUCUGGGCCACUACUGACGCUGAGAAGCGAAAGUCGUCGGGGAGCGAACAGGAUUAGAUACCU
rnacentral:rRNA from 1 species